rnacentral:tRNA from 1 species
AGGACUUUAAGUUAAAAUAAACUGAUAGCCUUCAAAGCUUUAAAUAAGAAGUUUUCUUAAGUUCUA